rnacentral:rRNA from 1 species
CCCAAGCCUUGCUUGGGUCCUCGAGUGGCGAACGGGUGAAGUAACACGUGGGUGAUCUGCCCUGCACUUCGGGAUAAGCCUGGGAAACUGGGUCUAAUACCGGAUAGGACGAUGGUUUGGAUGCCAUUGUGAAAAGUUUUUUCGGUGUGGGAUGAGCUCGCGGCCUAUCAGCUUGUUGGUGGGGUAAUGGCCUACCAAGGCGUCGACGGGUAGCCGGCCUGAGAGGGUGUACGGCCACAUUGGGACUGAGAUACGGCCCAGACUCCUACGGGAGGCAGCAGUGGGGAAUAUUGCACAAUGGGCGCAAGCCUGAUGCAGCGACGCCGCGUGGGGGAUGACGGCCUUCGGGUUGUAAACUCCUUUCGCUAGGGACGAAGCGUUUUUGUGACGGUACCUGGAGAAGAAGCACCGGCUAACUACGUGCCAGCAGCCGCGGUAAUACGUAGGGUGCGAGCGUUGUCCGGAAUUACUGGGCGUAAAGAGCUCGUAGGUGGUUUGUCGCGUCGUUUGUGUAAGCCCGCAGCUUAACUGCGGGACUGCAGGCGAUACGGGCAUAACUUGAGUGCUGUAGGGGAGACUGGAAUUCCUGGUGUAGCGGUGGAAUGCGCAGAUAUCAGGAGGAACACCGAUGGCGAAGGCAGGUCUCUGGGCAGUAACUGACGCUGAGGAGCGAAAGCAUGGGUAGCGAACAGGAUUAGAUACCCUGGUAGUCCAUGCCGUAAACGGUGGGCGCUAGGUGUGAGUCCCUUCCACGGGGUUCGUGCCGUAGCUAACGCAUUAAGCGCCCCGCCUGGGGAGUACGGCCGCAAGGCUAAAACUCAAAGGAAUUGACGGGGGCCCGCACAAGCGGCGGAGCAUGUGGAUUAAUUCGAUGCAACGCGAAGAACCUUACCUGGGCUUGACAUACACCAGAUCGCCGUAGAGAUACGGUUUCCCUUUGUGGUUGGUGUACAGGUGGUGCAUGGUUGUCGUCAGCUCGUGUCGUGAGAUGUUGGGUUAAGUCCCGCAACGAGCGCAACCCUUGUCUUAUGUUGCCAGCACGUGAUGGUGGGGACUCGUGAGAGACUGCCGGGGUUAACUCGGAGGAAGGUGGGGAUGACGUCAAAUCAUCAUGCCCCUUAUGUCCAGGGCUUCACACAUGCUACAAUGGUCGGUACAACGCGCAUGCGAGCCUGUGAGGGUGAGCGAAUCGCUAUCAAAGCCGGCCG